UCACGACUCUCAUCACCAUCGGUCUUCUUCUUACCGCGGGUCGAUUUCAAUUUUCCUUUCCUAUUCCUUUUCUUUUCUCUUUUCCUUUUCCUUUUUCGUUUCCUUUUCCUUUUCCUUUUCCUUUCUCUUUCUCCGGAGCCGCCAGCUCUUUUCCUUUUUUCUUCGACAACACCUCAGGAGCCAUCGCUUCCCAGUCGGUCGAUUCUGUUUCCGACUCCUCUUCGGGAGCAUACUCACUGCCCACAUCUUCCACAAGUUGCUCGGCUGGUUGCUGA
rnacentral:lncRNA from 1 species